rnacentral:rRNA from 1 species
UAUGCUGGCAGCUAGCUCUCUGCAACUCCUACAUGGUCGCCCACUGAAGCUAAGCAGGGCUGCGCCCGGUCAGUCCCCGGAUGGGAGACAACAUGGGUGCUAGUGAGGCCAGCAUGG